AAAAAUAAGCCAAAAAAAUAAUAUCCGAAGAAGGAAAAACAUGCAAAGUAAAAAAAACAAACAAAAAUAAAAAACAAUAUCCAAAGAAGAAGGAAAAAAACAUCCAAAGGGAGAAAACAAGAACUGAAGGGCAAAUGAGGUAGGAGGAAAUACAAAUUUCGUUUCAGCACCGUUGGAGUGCCAAGCCGUGAAAAGCAUUUGGCCAGAAGACAAGGUGGUGUCCUUUUCAGCUUGGAGGAGGGAGCCUCCUUCUGGAACCAGAUGUUGACCUGGAGAAUCUUCUUCGCUUCCAUGAUCUCGACCUUCACCUUGAACUUCUUCAUGAGUAUCUACCACAACAAGCCGGGAGAUUUUAG